GACGAACGCUGGCGGCGUGCCUAAUACAUGCAAGUAGAACGCUGAAGGAGGAGCUUGCUUCUCUGGAUGAGUUGCGAACGGGUGAGUAACGCGUAGGUAACCUGCCUGGUAGCGGGGGAUAACUAUUGGAAACGAUAGCUAAUACCGCAUAAUAGUAGAUGUUGCACGACAUUUGCUUAAAAGGUGCAAUUGCAUCACUACCAGAUGGACCUGCGUUGUAUUAGCUAGUUGGUGGGGUAACGGCUCACCAAGGCGACGAUACAUAGCCGACCUGAGAGGGGGAUCGGCCACACUGGGACUGAGACACGGCCCAGACUCCUACGGGAGGCAGCAGUAGGGAAUCUUCGGCAAUGGACGGAAGUCUGACCGAGCAACGCCGCGGGAGGGAAGAAGGUUGUCGGAUCGUAAAGCUCUGUUGUAAGAGAAGAACGAGUGUGAGAGUGGAAAGUUCACACUGUGACGGUAGCUUACCAGAAAGAGACGGCUAACUACGUG
rnacentral:rRNA from 1 species